UACGUAGGGUGCGAGCGUUGUCCGGAAUUAUUGGGCGUAAAGAGCUUGUAGGCGGUUUGUCGCGUCUGCUGUGAAAAUCCGAGGCUCAACCUCGGACUUGCAGUGGGUACGGGCAGACUAGAGUGUGGUAGGGGAGACUGGAAUUCCUGGUGUAGCGGUGGAAUGCGCAGAUAUCAGGAGGAACACCGAUGGCGAAGGCAGGUCUCUGGGCCACUACUGACGCUGGAGAAGCGGAAAAGCAUGGGGAGCGAACAGG
rnacentral:rRNA from 1 species